rnacentral:rRNA from 1 species
ACGCACGCUGGCGGCAUGCCUAACACAUGCAAGUCGAACGAGACCUUCGGGUCUAGUGGCGCACGGGUGCGUAACGCGUGGGAACCUGCCCUUAGGUUCGGAAUAACUCCCCGAAAGGGGUGCUAAUACCGGAUAAUGUCUUCGGACCAAAGAUUUAUCGCCUUUGGAUGGGCCCGCGUUGGAUUAGCUAGUUGGUAGGGUAAAAGCCUACCAAGGCGACGAUCCAUAGCUGGUCUGAGAGGAUGAUCAGCCACACUGGGACUGAGACACGGCCCAGACUCCUACGGGAGGCAGCAGUGGGGAAUAUUGGACAAUGGGCGAAAGCCUGAUCCAGCAAUGCCGCGUGAGUGAUGAAGGCCUUAGGGUUGUAAAGCUCUUUUACCCGGGAUGAUAAUGACAGUACCGGGAGAAUAAGCUCCGGCUAACUCCGU